rnacentral:rRNA from 1 species
GGCCGCAAGGUUAAAACUCAAAUGAAUUGACGGGGGCCCGCACAAGCGGUGGAGCAUGUGGUUUAAUUCGAUGCAACGCGAAGAACCUUACCUGGUCUUGACAUCCACAGAACUUUCCAGAGAUGGAUUGGUGCCUUCGGGAACUGUGAGACAGGUGCUGCAUGGCUGUCGUCAGCUCGUGUUGUGAAAUGUUGGGUUAAGUCCCGCAACGAGCGCAACCCUUAUCCUUUAUUGCCAGCGAUUAGGUCGGGAACUCA